AAUUUUUUUUUUUAAAUGGAAACUAGCUGACAUUAAAAAAAUAUCAGGGGAAACAAACAAAACAUGUCUCAUACACUGUAACUUCGGGACUCAACAAACCAUAUUGAAAAGUGCAGACCAAAUUAAAUGCAAAAACAAAGAAAACAAGAAAAUGAAAGAAAGAGCAGCAAAAGAAACCCAAUCGUCAGAACCAUUUUCCCUCAAAAAACUUAAACAGAACCAGCUAAAGCUCUCCAAUCUCUAGGAAAACAGAAAUGCAUGAAGCCAUCAACAAAACCCAGAAGAGAGCGGAGCUUCAAUUUAUUCAUCGGAGUAAAGAAUCAAAAUUCCCGACGAACUAAAGCCAAAGAAACCUAAUGCAGAAAGGAGCAGUUCGCCAUGUCUAUCUUUGCGACUCGCUCAACUAUCUUCGGGGCUUCCUCGAUCCAGAAUCGACCCUCAGGAUCUUGGCGCCCCUCCUUGGCCAAGUCUCCCUCAAUCUGGACGCGACGAAAGCCAAUAUCCUGUGCAAAUCAAAUCGCCUGCUCGUAUGUCCGGGCUUCUACAACAAAGGCAUCGGCAAUAUUAAUAUGAGGGUAAGUACAAGCCCCCAUAACUAGCCCUCUUUCAUUUCUUGCAAUAAUGCCUGAGAUGGAUGUUUUCUCCUGUAAAUUAAAAGAUGAGUCAAAGUUAACUGUUAUAAAAUCCAAAUCUAGUGGUCUCCAGUGAAUUUGCGUAGAGGAGCAUCUAGGGUAUCCCACUAUUUCAAGGGCUUCAAUUUUAGCCAAGUAACCUAAAACGAGCACCACCAAAUCACUCAACGUUUGACUUGUACACUCGUGAAUUAAUUUAUUUCGUGCAAACCAAAUAGACCAAACAGAUAGAGUCACCAGCUUUCUAUUUCUGUCGUCUGUUGUUUGGAAAACCUCUACUGGCCAAUAUUUGUAAUCUAGAUGUUUCGACAUAAAGCGCACAGUGAAUCGCAAAGAAGUCAAAAACUGGCUUGUUACUGGGCAAAAACGCAGUAGGUGGUCAACAGAUUGUAAAUCUGUGUGACACAACAGACAAAGAAUAGGAGUAGAAAUAUGUCGUUUGUUUAAGUUAGCAUACGUAGGCAUUAAAAUUGUUGUAGAAUUUCCACAUUGUAAUUUUAAUCUUCGCUAGAAGUUGUAAUGCCCAUAAAUCCGAGAGAAGUUCUUUGCGGAGGUAGUCAUAGGAGUAGACGAAUCUUUUUGUAAUUCUGAAUUUCCUUGUAUAAGUACCUUGUAACCACUCUUCACAGUAUACGCCCCCGAUCCGUCCAGCCUCCAAAUCCUAGAACUCAGGGGCGAAGCUAGAAAAGAAUUUUUGGAGGGGCCGAAGGAAAUUUUAAUUUUUUAUAGUCUAUAUAUUUAUAAUUUUUAAAGGAUUAAAUUGAAUUUUUAUAAUUUUAGGGGGGGCCAAAGUACAAUUUUACUUUUACUAAUUUAAAAUUUUAAAAAAAUCUAAAGGGCCUAAAUGAAAAUUUUCCAUUUUAGGGGGGGCCGGGGCCCAUGCCUACCCCCCCUGGUUUCGCCCCUGCUAGAACUAGGUAGUUUUGUCCUGGCCAGGGUUAUAGACAAAA